GCCACUUUAGCAUAGUUGGUAAUGCGUGUGAUUCGUAAUCACAAGAUCGGGGGUUCGAUUCCCUCAGGUGGCU